rnacentral:rRNA from 1 species
AUGGCUAACCAUGCAAGUCGAACGAGACCUUCGGGUCUAGUGGCGCACGGGUGCGUAACGCGUGGGAAUCUACCCUUGGGUUCGGAAUAACUUCUCGAAAGGGAUGCUAAUACCGGAUGAUGUCGUAAGACCAAAGAUUUAUCGCCCAAGGAUGAGCCCGCGUAGGAUUAGCUAGUUGGUGAGGUAAAGGCUCACCAAGGCGACGAUCCUUAGCUGGUCUGAGAGGAUGAUCAGCCACACUGGGACUGAGACACGGCCCAGACUCCUACGGGAGGCAGCAGUGGGGAAUAUUGGACAAUGGGCGAAAGCCUGAUCCAGCAAUGCCGCGUGAGUGAUGAAGGCCUUAGGGUUGUAAAGCUCUUUUACCCGGGAUGAUAAUGACAGUACCGGGAGAAUAAGCUCCGGCUAACUCCGUGCCAGCAGCCGCGGUAAUACGGAGGGAGCUAGCGUUGUUCGGAAUUACUGGGCGUAAAGCGCACGUAGGCGGCUUUGUAAGUUAGAGGUGAAAGCCUGGAGCUCAACUCCAGAACUGCCCUUUAAACUGCAUCGCUUGAAUCCAGGAGAGGUGAGUGGAAUUCCGAGUGUANAGGUGAAAUUCGUAAAUAUUCGGAAGAACACCAGUGGCGAAGGCGGCUCACUGGACUGGUAUUGACGCUGAGGUGCGGAAGCGUGGGGAGCAAACGGGAUAAGAUACCCUGGUAAUCCACGCCCGUAAACGAUGAAUACUAGCUGUCUGGGUGCUUGGGACUUAGUGUGGGGCAGCUAACGCUUAAGUUUUCCCGCCGGGUGAAGAACGGUCGCAAAAAUAAAACCCCAAAGGAAUUGACAGUGGCCCGGCCCAAGCGGGUGGACCUGGUGGGUUUAAUUCGAAACCAAGCGCCAAAAACUUUACCACUUUUGGAAUGGGAAAGAUGGUUUCCCA